UCAGCGGCGGACGGGUGAGUAAUGCCUAGGAAUCUGCCUGGUAGUGGGGGACAACGUUUCGAAAGGAACGCUAAUACCGCAUACGUCCUACGGGAGAAAGUGGGGGAUCUUCGGACCUCACGCUAUCAGAUGAGCCUAGGUACGAUUAGCUAGUUGGUGAGGUAAAGGCUCACCAAGGCGACGAUCGUUAACUGGUCUGAGAGGAUGAUCAGUCACACUGGAACUGAGACACGGUCCAGACUCCUACGGGAGGCAGCAGUGGGGAAUAUUGGACAAUGGGCGAAAGCCUGAUCCAGCCAUGCCGCGUGUGUGAAGAAGGUCUUCGGAUUGUAAAGCACUUUAAGUUGGGAGGAAGGGCAGUAAGUUAAUACCUUGCUGUUUUGACGUUACCAACAGAAUAAGCACCGGCUAACUUCGUGCCAGCAGCCGCGGUAAUACGAAGGGUGCAAGCGUUAAUCGGAAUUACUG
rnacentral:rRNA from 1 species